GAAAUGCGAUACGCAAUGCGAAUUGCAGAAUUCCGCGAAUCAUCAGAUUCUUGAACGCAACUGGCGCUGGAGGGAUAUCCUUCCAGCAUGUCUGUUUCAGUGUCUGAAAACUUCCUAUAUUAUUUUAAUGUGUUUGAUAAGGCGUAAUUCAUUUUUAUAAUGAAUUAUACACAAGUCUUACAUGAAAGAUGUAUGUGUGGGUCUUUGGGCCCAUCGAAUUUGUCAUCGAUUCCUUCGGUGAUUUCGAUUGGAUGUCACCAAUUACUCCUAUACACAUAGAAUAUUUAUUCAUUACUUUAUCAUCUGCAUCUGAAAUCAGGCAAGAAAACCCGCUGAACUUAA
rnacentral:misc_RNA from 1 species